rnacentral:tRNA from 1 species
GAACGCGUAGCUUAGCGGCGAAAGCGCCUGCGUGACGUGCAGGAGACCGUGAGUUCGAGUCUCACCGCGUUCA